CACACACACACACACACAUCAGUGGAAAGCUACAUUUGGUCAGACUAUCAGGUGAUUUUUGAAAAAUCAACAUGAAAACCAAGGGCCUGGAGAUGAAUCAAUAGUGUGGGAAGUCAGGGCAAUUCCCCUUAGCAAAGGCAGCUUCUAAGGACGGCAGGAAUGUUCCAGCUUCGUUCUGUGUGGUGGUUACACCACGUUCACUUUAGGAACCAGCUAUCGAGCUGUGCUCUUAUGACGUGGGGCACUUUUCCACGCCUGGCCAUAUGUGGGUUUAAAGAUUUGACUUUGCAACUCCUAAACACCUAAAUAAUGACUAAAUAGUGUGGGUUGCCAGGGGCUGGGGACGGGGAGUGAGCUGGUGACUAACAGCCCAGGUCUC
rnacentral:lncRNA from 1 species